GCUAAUACCGGAUAACAACAGUAGACGCAUGUCUAGAGUUUGAAAGAUGGUUCUGCUAUCACUCUUGGAUGGACCUGCGGUGCAUUAGUUAGUUGGUAAGGUAAUGGCUUACCAAGGCGAUGAUGCAUAGCCGAGUUGAGAGACUGAUCGGCCACAUUGGGACUGAGACACGGCCCAAACUCCUACGGGAGGCAGCAGUAGGGAAUCUUCCACAAUGGACGAAAGUCUGAUGGAGCAACGCCGCGUGAGUGAAGAAGGGUUUCGGCUCGUAAAGCUCUGUUGGUAGUGAAGAAAGAUAGAGGUAGUAACUGGCCUUUAUUUGACGGUAAUUACUUAGAAAGUCACGGCUAACUACGUGCCAGCAGCCGCGGUAAUACGUAGGUGGCAAGCGUUGUCCGGAUUUAUUGGGCGUAAAGCGAGUGCAGGCGGUUCAAUAAGUCUGAUGUGAAAGCCUUCGGCUCAACCGGAGAAUUGCAUCAGAAACUGUUGAACUUGAGUGCAGAAGAGGAGAGUGGAACUCCAUGUGUAGCGGUGGAAUGCGUAGAUAUAUGGAAGAACACCAGUGGCGAAGGC
rnacentral:rRNA from 1 species